rnacentral:rRNA from 1 species
AUUGAACGCUGGCGGCAUGCCUUACACAUGCAAGUCGAACGGUAACAGGUCUUCGGAUGCUGACGAGUGGCGAACGGGUGAGUAAUACAUCGGAACGUGCCUAGUAGUGGGGGAUAACUACUCGAAAGAGUGGCUAAUACCGCAUGAGAUCUACGGAUGAAAGCAGGGGAUCGCAAGACCUUGUGCUACUAGAGCGGCCGAUGGCAGAUUAGGUAGUUGGUGGGAUAAAAGCUUACCAAGCCGACGAUCUGUAGCUGGUCGGAGAGGACGAUCAGCCACACUGGGACUGAGACACGGCCCAGACUCCUACGGGAGGCAGCAGUGGGGAAUUUUGGACAAUGGGCGCAAGCCUGAUCCAGCAAUGCCGCGUGCAGGAUGAAGGCCUUCGGGUUGUAAACUGCUUUUGUACGGAACGAAAAGCCCUGGGUUAAUACCCUGGGGUCAUGACGGUACCGUAAGAAUAAGCACCGGCUAACUACGUGCCAGCCGCCACAGUAAAAC